AACGAACGCUGGCGGCAUGCCUAACACAUGCAAGUCGAACGAGACCUUCGGGUCUAGUGGCGCACGGGUGCGUAACGCGUGGGAACCUGCCCUUAGGUUCGGAAUAACUCCCCGAAAGGGGUGCUAAUACCGGAUAAUGUCUUCGGACCAAAGAUUUAUCGCCUUUGGAUGGGCCCGCGUUGGAUUAGCUAGUUGGUAGGGUAAAAGCCUACCAAGGCGACGAUCCAUAGCUGGUCUGAGAGGAUGAUCAGCCACACUGGGACUGAGACACGGCCCAGACUCCUACGGGAGGCAGCAGUGGGGAAUAUUGGACAAUGGGCGAAAGCCUGAUCCGGCAACGCCGCGUGAGUGAUGAAGGCCUUAGGGUUGUAAAGCUCUUUUACCCGGGAUGAUAAUGACAGUACCGGGAGAAUAAGCUCCGGCUAACUCCGUG
rnacentral:rRNA from 1 species